rnacentral:tRNA from 1 species
GGGAGUGUCAGCACGCCUGGUGGCGGCCACGGAUUUCAAAUCCGCUGUUGGGCCUGGAGACAGGUUCAAGGUAGGUUCGAUUCCUAUCCACUCCCG